rnacentral:tRNA from 1 species
UCCCUGGUGGCUCAGAUGGUAGAGAAUCUGCCUGCAAUGCAGGAGAGCUGGGUUAGAUCCCUGGGUUGGGAA